UUUUCUUUACAUAAAUAGGGAACUUUUUCCUGUUUUUCCUGUUUCAUUUGCUCCACUAAUUGUAAACAUGGAAAUUAUGGCUAAAAUUAUUUCGCUGUAUUUAAUAUAGUCAUCAGUAUAUAAGACAAACUGGUUUUUUACCUUUCAUCUUAAAAGCUGAUAUUCCUUCCGGAAAUAGUGAACCUUCUACAUCUGCAAGUCCUGAAGACAAAUGGGAAGAUAAAAUUGAACAAGUUAAGUUCCACCCAGUACCAGGAGAAGAUGUUUUGGAAAAUGGUAAGAAUAUUCCAACUCAGUAUAUGUCAGUGUCAGCAACUGCUAAAUUUCAAAACAUGAGUCAUGAGGAGCUGCGUUUUAUACAUUACAUGAAACGUGAAGUACAUUCAGAUGAAUUACAUGCAGAGAAUUUACAUGAAAGAAAUACAUUGCCAAAAUUUUGGUUUUCAAAAAAGAUUCAUUGAAGUACAGUGCAGCAUGAUUUUGUACUUGGAAAAGAAGCACUUGGACAAAAGACAGAAGCUUUUUUAUUUUCAAAGCAUUUCACAGUUGACAUCCAGAAGAACAAAGCAGAAUGAAAAAGCAACCAAAAUGGGUCGGUGUGCGAAAGAGGGAACUUUGCUGUUGGUCCUCCUCACACAAGAUGGGCAGCACCUGAAUGAAAUAAUAAAAUGUACAGAUACAGUUGGCUAGAUCUUAUAUUCCUUUCUGUCACAAUAUUCUUAUACAAAGACGUACAGUUUAUUUUUAAAGUACCUUUUAGUUCCUUCAAAGGUUAAUUAGGUUUACAAAAACAACAGUUACAAUUAAAAAUCAGUAAAUAAGCACUGAGAGAUUAUCAAAACCUCACAUUUACUACACUGUCCCAAACAAAAAAAUUAGACAUUCCAAUGCCCCAAAAACAACCCAAAUUUUUAAAUGCCUUUCUAAAAAGCCAAAAGGUUUAGGGUAACCAUUCAUUGCGGGGAGGGAGAUCAUUCCAAAGGGCAGGCACCACAACUAAAGGUACACCACCUAGGUCCCUUCAGAUUGUUUUGUAGGGCAUGUGGGCAGGCAGGUACCAUUGAAGAAAGGCAAUCCUCUUCAUAGCCUAUCCACAUUAGACCUUUACAGGUGAUAACAUCCUGAAUUGUAUCAGUAAUUUUGUAAGAAGUCAGUGCAGCUGGCUAGUGGGGUUUGUGUGGAUGUACUGAAGUAUGCUAAAGCUAUGAUUCUUCAGUGCCAAAAUGGUAUAUCCAAUAAAGUUAUGCUUUUGGGAUUACAAAGUUCCUGAGCGUGCCUACUUCUUUUGGGUUCAUUAGUCAGACCGUUGACACUAGUUAUGUUUAGCCUAGAGAAGAGAUGGUUGCAGGAGGGAAACAUGAUAGCUGACUUUAAAUAUCUGAAGGGCUGUCAGACAGGAAGAUCAUUUGGAGUGCUCCAAAAAACAAGCCAAUAAAC
rnacentral:lncRNA from 1 species